CAGGGAAGGUACCCCUGCGCUGGGACCCCUGUCGCCGCGGCUGGGGCCUCAGGCAGGACGGGCGGCGGGCUGGGAGCCGGAGACCCCCAGCGAGGCGCGGGCUGAGGGAGGGGCUCCCCCGGACCGCCGGGCCCUCCCUGCGGGGAGGAAAGGCGGAGUGCGUGCGCCCGGCCCAGCCCCGGAGUGCGGGUCGGGGAGGAGGGGAGCCCAGGCGCCGCCCCUGGCUGAGUCAUCCGCCGGGGGCGGAGCGGAGGGCAAGGGAGGGCCUAGGGCAGGCUCGGGGGCAAAAACCUGCCGGGUCAGUGCCUGCUGCCCGCAGGGGCCGUGGCUGGGGCAGCGAGAAGCAGCUUUGACCCCAGAGGCGCCACCCACAGGAAUGACGGCCCGACCCUAACGGGUCCUUCAAGGAGAGGACCCCGUUCCAGAGAGGCCACGUGGCUAACAGUCGGUGAGAAGCCGGGGGCUUUCAGUCCAAAGCCCACAAAGAAUGGAUUCCUGCCAAUACCUCGUGUGCUUGGAAGUGGGUCUUUGCCUGGUCAAGCUUUCAGGUGAGGGGCGGCUUGUACCUGAUUGCAGGCUUUGCGUGAGGCUGUGCCCGGACUCCCGACCCACGGCGGCCAUGCAGUGCUGUGCGUUGAUAAGCCGGGAGAUGGCUGGUUACACAGCAAAAGGUGCUGUCCUCUGCAGAUGCCCCCUGCCUCCGGAGAUGCCCUCUCCUCCAGUCCCCGUCUGCCGGGGUUGAACCAACUCUCCAAGAACCACAUGUCUCCGCUCGCAGGAGUUCCUGAGGAUUUGUGCGUCACCAGGCUGGUCACACGCAUUCCUGCAUCGCCCCUUCCCGGCGAGCCUGUGAGGGCGAGGCUAUCACCAUGCACACGCCAGAGACAAGAAAGCAGAGGCCGGACAGGGAAGACAGGGAAGCCCGGUGCGGGGAGCUGAGGUGUGGCCCCCGAGCUCUGAGGCCCAACCCUGGUUCUCACUCAGGCACCUGCCUUCCCCAGUACCCUUACCAGAACACAGCAUCUCUCCAUCCUGAAAACCCUGGAGCCCUCGUUUCUCUCUUGUUUAUGGCACCCAUCAAAUUCUGCUUUUUCACCAUAGUUAUUUUUCAUGUUUGUUCUAGGCCUGCCAUUGAACUGUGAGCUCCUUAGGGGCAAGCUCUACUUCCAACUUACAUCUUUACAUUCCUGCAGCCCUUAUCAGAGUGUCUGGCGGGUGGCAAGCACCUGGUCAAAUAGCAGCUUGGCCAGAACGCUGUUAACCCUGGAGGGGCUGGCUAACCACGGCCAGCUCCACGCAGAAUGAGCUGGCGGGAGGGAAGGCCAGCCUGGUCCCACUGCUUGGGACAGGCCACUAACACGCCUCACUCCACAUAUGGCAACAACAGGGAAAGGGAAACAGAAUCAGUAUCUCCAGCCACCAACAGCUCACCUAAGUUACUGCCGUUUUCAGUAACGGGUACGGUGGCUGCUGGUUCCGGCAGGCACCCACUUGGGGACCCACGGCCCGCCUCUCUGUGGCCUCCAUCCCCGCCCCCGCCACUCUCCCCCUCGACUCUUCAUGACUAGCCAGCCCUGCUUUCCUCUCCGUGCCCUCCCAGACUUUCCAGGUCUGGCGAGAGGGGUCAUGGCUCCGACAAGCAGUGCUCACACCUUUGCCUCCAGCCUCCUGACUUUGCCUUGAGCCCCCCUUCCUCAUCCGCCCGUAACCCACCGCGAUUCCACCCCCCACGGUUCAACCACUGCCCUGCCUGCCCCCAGCCCCGCAGUCUCUGUCCUCUUGUCUUCUCCCCUCUGUGACACGCAGCCUCGUGGGCCCCUUAACGCAUCCAGGAAGGUGGCAGACACGUGGCGGCCCAUCAAGUCGGGGUGUCUAUCGUGACACGAUCCCUGGCAGCCAGUUAAAGAGGAAGGAAACAUGGGCAGACAGAAAAACCUCAUUGUUCCUAAGAAACAAGGUUCUCUUUGAUCUUUAGUUUCACAGGAAAUGAGUGACCUUGGCACCACUCUUCCCUCUCAGAGGCACCUUUUGAGAAAUCUAACAAGGCACUGCUCUGCUUUGCUCCCACGGGUUGGAAGCCCAUCACGUCACUUCCCAGGCGAGGCCAGGAUGCGUGGCCCUCUCCCCGCUGGAGGCUGUGUGGUGGGGAGACUGCUAGUAGAAACGACCCCCGUAAGCUGGGGUUCCACCCCAACCUCCCCCGAGCCCGACCCACCAUC